rnacentral:rRNA from 1 species
UCUCAUCACCAGUAAGCUAACGUGAUAGUCGUACACUAGUCACCCAUAUCUCUUCUUCUCGGGUGACGAGUGGCGGACGGGUGAGUAAUGUAGUGGGAGGAGUGCCUGAUGGAGGGGGAUAACUACUGGAAACGGUAGCUAAUACCGCAUAAUGUCGCAAGACCAAAGAGGGGGACCUUCGGGCCUCUUGCCAUCAGAUGUGCCCAGAUGGGAUUAGCUAGUAGGUGGGGUAACGGCUCACCUAGGCGACGAUCCCUAGCUGGUCUGAGAGGAUGACCAGCCACACUGGAACUGAGACACGGUCCAGACUCCUACGGGAGGCAGCAGUGGGGAAUAUUGCACAAUGGGCGCAAGCCUGAUGCAGCCAUGCCGCGUGUAUGAAGAAGGCCUUCGGGUUGUAAAGUACUUUCAGCGGGGAGGAAGGUGUUGUGGUUAAUAACCACAGCAAUUGACGUUACCCGCAGAAGAAGCACCGGCUAACUCCGUGCCAGCGGGCGCGGUAAUACGGAGGGUGCAAGCGUUAA